rnacentral:rRNA from 1 species
AACGAACGCUGGCGGCAGGCCUAACACAUGCAAGUCGAACGAACCUUUUAGGUGAGUGGCGCACGGGUGCGUAACACGUGGGAAUAUACACUUCGGUAAGGAACAACACAGAGAAAUUUGUGCUAAUACCUUAUAAUGACUCCGGUCCAAAGAUUUAUCGCCGAAGGAUUUAGCCCGCGCUAGAUUAGUUUGUUGGUGAGGUAAGAGCUCACCAAGACUACGAUCUAUAGCUGGUCUUAGAGGAUGAUCAGCCACACUGGAACUGAGACACGGUCCAGACUCCUACGGGAGGCAGCAGUGAGGAAUAUUGGACAAUGGGGGCAACCCUGAUCCAGCCAUGCCGCGUAGAAUGAAGAAGGCCUUAGGGUUGUAAAAUUCUUUCAGAUGCGAAGAUAAUGACGGUACCAUCAGAAGAAGCUUCCGGCUAAAUUACGUGCCAGCAGCCGCGGUAAUGU